UGUUAAAAAGAAAAUUAUCGUGUAUUACCGGAACCCAAAAAUAUUACUAACCCUUUUUUUAUAUUAAUAAAAAUAGGCACAGCUUAAUAAAGGAGUGCGGGAAAGAAUGCGAUUCACGCAUUUGACGGCGCGGGAAAUAAAUGCGUGAAUCGCGGCGGCCACACCAUUUACCCAAUCUCAUCUCUUCCUGGCAUCGCCGCCCCAUCUCCGGCGGCUCAUCUCCCUUUAUCCACCGUUUCCGGAACGUAAUCGACACCUUCAGCCAUCUCCGAUAGGAGGCUGAAAAGUUUGUGCUGAUUUUGUUAACCUUACUUGAAGUAAAGACCAAGAGAAAUACCAAGGUGAUAGAAGGUUUGCGCGUUGAAGAAGUUAGGGAACAUUAUGGUUUCCAAUCGCGUGUUAGCGUGUAGCUUACUGGUUUAUUUGGUAGUGGCAAUGCUGUUUGAUGUUACUGGCUGGAAGAGUUUGUUUUUGCAGCUCAUUUUAAUGUGCUAUGUGUGUUUUGGGUUUAACCCUAAUAACCGCAUUAAGUUGAAAGUUGGAUUCUCUUUUGGAAUGAAAAAGGACGCGAAUGGAGAAGGAGAUAGAGAUGAUGACCAUGGUAGAGCAGCUGGUGCACACGAGCGGGUUGAUUGAGUUCUUGAUCAUUGCUACUGAUGUUUUGAUUCUUUUUGGGAUGGGGAUUAUCUUGGAUUAGGUUUGGGGAUUGUUUUGAAUUUGAUUCUUAUGAUGUACAGUCUAUAAGGGGAAGCACUUGUGGGUGCUACUAAACUCCUUUAAACACAUAUGUUAGAAAUCGUUUGAUGAA